rnacentral:rRNA from 1 species
GACGAACGCUGGCGGCGUGCUUAACACAUGCAAGUCGAGCGGUAAGGCCCUUUCGGGGGUACGACGAGCGGCGAACGGGUGAGUAACACGUGGGUGACCUGCCCUCAGCUCUGGGAUAAGCCUGGGAAACCGGGUCUAAUACCGGAUAUGACUCCAUGACGCAUGUUGUGGGGUGGAAAGCCUUGUGCGGCUGAGGAUGGGCCCGCGGCCUAUCAGCUUGUUGGUGGGGUGAUGGCCUACCAAGGCGACGACGGGUAGCCGGCCUGAGAGGGCGACCGGCCACACUGGGACUGAGACACGGCCCAGACUCCUACGGGAGGCAGCAGUGGGGAAUCUUGCGCAAUGGGCGAAAGCCUGACGCAGCGACGCCGCGUGAGGGAUGACGGCCUCGGUUG